CACGUAGGGGGCAAGCGUUGUCCGGAUUUAUUGGGCGUAAAGAGCUCGUAGGUGGUUCGGUAAGUCGGGUGUUAAACCCCCAGGCUCAACCUGGGGACGCCACUCGAUACUGCUGUGACUUGAGUCCGGUAGGGGAGCGUGGAAUUCCUGGUGUAGCGGUGAAAUGCGUAGAUAUAGGAAGGAACACAAGUGGCGAAGGCGACCACCUGGACUGAUACUGACACUGAGGUGCGAAAGCGUGGGGAGCAAACAGG
rnacentral:rRNA from 1 species